GCGGUGUCCCACCCGUAGUCACCAGGAAACUCACCGGUCAGGUAGCUCGGGGGCUCGUCAGAGAGCGGGCCGAGGUACAACACGCGGUCAGAGCCGUACCACGGGCUACCCGAGGACACCGGCUUGGCCUUGGCAGCGGUCUUCCGCAUGGUGACCCGGGCCUCGCCGAAGAGAGCUGCCGACGGCAGGUUCUUCACCGUAUUGCCGGCAAAGGCCGAGGAAGAAAGAGACAUGGUGGUGGCCGCCAUUGCACUUGCUUUUAAGACCGGUGGUUGCUGACCUCCGUGCUCUCCAAUAGUAUUGGAUGAGUGUGAAGAACUGGAGAUGGUAUCAGAAGAGAGGAGGAUGGAGCUAGUUAAAGGAGUGAGAAAGAACGGAGGGGAUUGCCCGGUACGGUGCUGGCAAGGGGGAGAGAGCCUGAAAAAUCUGAAGCUGCGUUGCCAUUGGUGCACAGUUGGCGCAGCAAGGGCCUCAUGUGGAUAUACGAUAAAGUUGUGGGUAGGGCUAAGAGGAGUCCCCGUGGAGAUGUGUGAUUGGGCUGAGUUUGAUGAACAAUCGCACAGGGACACAAGUGAUUUGCGCUGCAUAAACUGUCAUAGCUAUUCUGAUCCGCUUUAUUUGCUUCUUAUACAGACUCUGUAAACUUGGCCUGUACUAGCUAACUGACGCCUAAAUGAAAAUGAAAAUACCAGACAGAACGAGUCUUACUGACGUGCCAUCCCACGGUGUUGAUCGUGUCCUGGUCAUGCCGCCAUUGACGCUUGAUUCGUGCCAUCCCACGAAGCAGUCAAAGGCGGCGCACUAAAGCAGCUGACUAACAAGUAGUGACUCAGGCAAGACCGCAAGACACGAACAAACACGUGCCAGAUGCCUGUUUAUUCAGUUACUGAACUUACUGAAGAAAAAUGACACCGACAACAACAUUACGGUGAACAGUACAUUAAGUAUUACUGCUUAUUCAUUAUUGCUUUGUGGUCAUUGUCUUUUGACGUUUUCUGUGGAAUACCUAUUUUUAAUUUCUCUCUUCCUCAUGAUUAGUAUGACGCAAUAAGUUAAUGGAAAUGAUUCAGGGAUAUGAGACUGUAAUUGUUCAAGGAGAUUAUUGGGUUGGUAAUUCAGGAUAUUUUUGAUACGAUGAUUCUUUCCAUUCUUAGUUUGUUUCAUGGUAAACGACCAAUUAGUGAAAGUGACCUCUUAAUGAGGGCCUCGUUUUCAUAUAUACACAUGUCGAAAAGCUGGUGGGUAGAUCUUGUGGUAAUAGACAUGAUCCUCUAGUUUUUAACUCUGAGUUUAUGUAUUCUAUAUCCGACAAUUGGCGGCGUGCUCAGUUUUGUAUGCGAUUGGUAAGCACAUGUCAUUGGUUACAAUAAGUGCAAAACAUACGUCAGAGAGUAUUGUUCUGAUAAAAUACCAAAUGGCUAGAUGCAGAAUAUCAGAGAGUAAAGUGGCCUUCGAAUCAAACAAUCUUUUUCAUGAGAUCCUCGUUGUAUACAUCAUCAUCAUGGUAGUACAAAUCACACCAGCUAUCCACACUUCAUAGUUGCAUGGUCGAUCUCGUUGACUACUUGCCGGGGACGAAGUUGGUGGCGAAGGCCCACGCAUUGUUGUUGACAGGGUCAGCAAGGUGGUCGGCGAGGUUCUCAAGUGGGCCCUUGCCGGUGACAAUGGCCUGUACAAAGAAGCCGAACAUGGAGAACAUGGCGAGACGGCCAUUCUUGAUCUCCUUCACCUUGAGCUCUGCGAAUGCCUCGGGGUCGUCGGCAAGGCCGAGUGGGUCAAAGCUGCCGCCGGGGUAGAGAGGGUCAACGAUCUCGCCGAGCGGGCCACUGGCAACACGGUAUCCCUCGACGGCGCCCAUGAGAACGACCUGGCAGGCCCAAAUGGCGAGGAUGCUCUGGGCAUGGACGAGGCUCGGGUUGCCGAGGUAGUCAAGGCCCCCCCUCAGUGAAGAUCUGAGAGCCGGCCUUGAACCAGACGGCCUCGCCGAACUGAACACCAUUGCGGGCGAGAAGCUCAGGGAAGACGCAACCGAGCGCGCCAAGCAUGGCCCAACGACAGUGGAUCACCUCAAGCUCGCGGUUCUUGGCAAAGGUCUCGGGGUCCGCUGAGAGCCCGGCGGUGUCCCACCCAUAGUCGCCGGGAAACUCACCGGUUAGGUAACUCGGGGGCUCGCCAGAGAGCGGGCCGAGGUACAGCACACGGUCGGAGCCGUACCACGGGCUGCUCGAGGAGAUUGGCUUGGCCUUGGCGGCGGUCUUGCGCAUGGUGCCCCGGCCUCACCGAAGAGAGUCGAUGACGGCAUGUUCUUCACCGUCUUGCCAGCGAAGGCCGAAGAAGAGAGAGACAUGGUAGUGGCUGCCAUUGCGCUAGCUCUUAAAACGGUGGUGGUCGAACUCUAUGCUUCUAAUAGUAUUCUGUGAGUGUGAAGGACUGAAGAUGGAUUCAGAAGGGAGGAGGAGGGAGCUACUUAAAGAAGUGAGAAGAGAAGACAGAGGGAAUUGAUCUGUGCUGGCAAGAGAGACACAGCCUGAGAAAUCUGAUGCCACCAUCUCAUUGGUGCAGCGGCCAUCCGGGUACAGUUGGCGCAGGGACAUCCUCAAGGGGAUGGGAUAUAGUCGUGGGUAGGGCUUGGGGAUUCUGCAUGUGCACUACAAUUUGUUGUACAACUAAUAAGUUAUUGAGUUUAAUCAGUUAUUGAGGAUUCUGCAUGUGCACUUACAAUUUGUUGUACAACUAAUAAGUGUUAAUUUGCUUCCUCCGAAGGUAAUAGUCAAAAGAAGUUUUUUGUUGGUAAACUGAUAGUAAACAUGCUCGAUCAACAUGUAUUGUCCACAUAUGGAGUUAAAAAUGAAUUAGCCAGUCGUGGGGCCAUAAUUUAGCCUUUGCUCAUGUACAUAGUAACUUUAUAUAAUCCGUGCUUUUAUAGUAUUGACCGUGACGGGGUGAAACCAGAUGGCACGAUCCACCUGUAAGAACAAAAGGAUUCGGGUUAAAAGCUUUAGUGGGAUCAUUAGUGACUGAACUUUUGCUAAAUGGGGUCAAAAAAGAAAUCACACUAAAUGAAACCAAAGCUGUAAGAAACAUAAAUUGAGGGGUCAAAAAAUAGAAUUCACUCUUUUAUGAACGUGUGAGGAAAGAAAUUAUUUCAUAAUUAAUGAAAAUAAAAGUCAGCGGAAUGGGGAACAUUGUUACGCGAGGUUAUUGGGUUUGAGUAAUUUAGAUGAUUGUUUUUAAUCUUUGCUUGUAUAAUAAAAACAUCAUUUUUAUUUUGGCGUGCAGAAAAGAUGACAGAUAGAUCUUGUGAUCACAGAUAUGAUGCUCUAAUUGUUGCCUCUGAGUUUCUGUAUUCUAUAUCCGGGAAGCAGCCCCAUGCGUGCCCUGCAAAAUUAGUAUGACUAAGAUUGUUAUUUUUGUAUAUACUUCCUUGUUAAUUGGGAUCUUUCUUAUCGACCAAAUCACCUAAUCCCAUCAAAAUUCUUUUAUGUCCUUUUCAUUGGCCUGGGUAUUUCUAGAUUUUGUAGUUAGUUCUGGAAUAUCCAUCCCUGAAAAAGGAAUGCGGUACACGUCAUUUUUACGGUAAGUUUGUUCACUUCCACGAGAGUAUGUAUUGCUCUGAUAAAACAUUGGGGGACAUCACAAAGUGUCUACUUCAAAAUCUGACAAUCUUUUGUUCAUAAGAUCCUCGUAAUUAAUUUACAUCAUCAUCGUGGUAGUACAAGUGAAACCAGCUACACACACUUGGUCGCGAGCAUAGUCGAUUUGCAUAUACACAUGUGCCUCUCAUUGACACCUUACUUGCCGGGAACGAAGUUGGUGGCAAAGGCCCACGCGUUGUUGUUGACGGGGUCGGCAAGGUGGUCAGCGAGGUUCUCAAGGGGACCCUUGCCGGUGACGAUGGCCUGAACGAAGAAGCCGAACAUGGAGAACAUGGCGAGGCGGCCGUUCUUGAUCUCCUUCACCUUGAGCUCAGCGAACGCCUCAGGGUCGUCAGCCAAGCCAAGGGGGUCGAAGCUGCCGCCGGGGUAGAGAGGGUCGACGAUCUCACCGAGCGGACCACCAGCAACACGGUACCCCUCGACGGCGCCCAUGAGCACGACCUGGCAAGCCCAGAUGGCGAGGAUGCUCUGGGCAUGGACGAGGCUCGGGUUGCCAAGGUAGUCGAGGCCGCCCUCGCUGAAGAUCUGGGAGCCGGCCUUGAACCAGACGGCCUCGCCAAACUUGACGCCGUUGCGGGCAAGCAGCUCGGGGAAGACGCAACCGAGCGCGCCGAGCAUGGCCCACCUGCAGUGGAUCACCUCCAGCUCCCGGUUCUUGGCGAAGGUCUCGGGGUCAGCCGAGAGCCCGGCGGUGUCCCACCCGUAAUCGCCGGGGAACUCACCGGUCAGGUAGCUCGGGGGUUCGCCGGAGAGCGGGCCGAGGUACAACACGCGGUCGGAGCCGUACCACGGGCUGCCUGAGGAGACCGGCUUGGCCUUGGCAACGGUCUUGCGCAUGGUGAUGCGGGCCUCUCCGAGCGCCGGCAGGUUCUUCACCGCCUUCCCGGCGAAGGUCGAGGAGGAGAGGGCCAUGGUGGCGGUCGCCAUUGAUGUACUGCUGUACCGUGCUCUCCUAAGAGUGUGAGGCUGGCUCUGGUGUGCGUGGAGAUGGUUUGAGAUGGGCAGAGGAGGUAGCUAUUUAACGGUGCUCUGUGGGUACAGAGAAGGGAAGAUGAUGAGAGAGAUGGCUAGAAAAAUCUGAAGCUGGGAUGCCAUUGGUGGAGUGGAGAUAUCGGCACAGUUGGCGCAGCGAGAGCCUCAAGCCGGUGGAGAUAGCUCAGACUUGCCAUGUGGAGAGGGGCUAUUGGGUGCCGUUGAUUUUCUCGUGGCUGAGGAUAUUGAUGUCGCUGAUAUUUUUUACUCGGACUGGAAGUUGCUGUUUUAGCCGUCAGAAGCUGUUAAAAAACGGAAACGUCGUGAAGGGGAUUGAUCGCCUCGUCUUGUGUCGUGUAUGUUUAGCAGUUGUUGUUUUCACUGUAUUUUCUUGGUCCUCACCGUAUCGUGCGUGGAUGUCGGUAAGAACCUGUAGAAAUGAAAUUCGUGUGCUUCUGCUUCUGAACCGAAACUGCGUAGUGCCAGCUACUGGAGACUGGGACUGGAGGGUGCAGGCUUGAGACGGCGUCAGUUUUGGGCCUAGUGAAACCACGAGGAGGCAUGCCUCCGCGCUCAAGCAGCCAUGGGCCUCAUUGUACUGGGUUGCGCAGCCUUUCAGAGUGGGCCGGAAGCAGGUAGAGUGCGGCUCGUUAUCUCCAGAUACGCAGCAGCCCGUCGCCCCGUCCUCAAACCGUCUAGUCAAAGGAAAAAAAAAGUCCUCAGAUGAGUCCAUCGUGCAGACAUUGGACUCUAGCUGCUCCCACCGGAUCACCGCAAAACCAAAACGAAAAACCCACGGUACCGAUCGACCUGGGCCUGCGGUACAACCAAAGCCCAAAAAGGAACCCACGGAGCGGAGCCGCCCGGGCCCUGCACGCUAUAGCAAGCAACAUCGUCCGUCCGUUUACUUUCCGAGGCCCACCUUUCCCACAGCUCAGAUCCAAAGGAAUCACACGCGCCCGAGCUCUUGAGAAUUCCAGAUCACGCAAGGGCAGCAAGGCGGCCACCGCACGGCACGGCAGUCGGCAGGCAACGCCCUUCCCGCCGUUCCGUCCGUUGGUUCCCGGGCGGGAACGUGCGCCCCCUCGUGAUCCGGCUUUUGCUUGCCCACACGCACUCCCGAGUACUCCCGGCCCGACUCAAUUAUCUUCGUCGCCUCGCUUGUCCCAUCGCUUCUCUCGCUGUCACAACCCAGUCCCUUCCGGAACGCCAAAACAGUCCAACCAACUUCGUCUUCCAGAGCUCAGCCAGCCAGCCGGCCACCACCAAGCACCAACGCCGCCCGUCCCCGCUGCUACCAUGUCCAUGUCGCUGCGCCUCGCUCUCCCCUCGUCAGCGCCCGUGCUCCCGCCGCGGGUGCCGCUGCCCGCCGGGAAUGCCGCCCGUCGCCCCUCACCCUCCCCGGUCCUCGCCACCGCCGCCGCCGCCUUGCGGACGGGCGCGCUCAGGUGGGUUCCUCUGUCCUCGCCCGGGUUUCGCGCCUGCACUGACGCCCGCGUAAUCGGCCUCGUGCUCAUGGUGAUGCGUGACUGUAUGUAUGCAGGGGAUGCGCUUCGCUGCCGCUGAAGCCGCAGCCGCCGGGCAUGAUGAUCACGGGCGCGGGCGCGGGGCGCCGGGGGUCCGCCGCCGUGUGCCGCGCGUCGUCGGCGUACCUCAGCCCGACCACCAUGCACUGGGUCUCCGCCGCGGCCACCGCGUGAGUGCCCCCCCUCCCUCACUCAAAAGUACUCUGCCUUUUUGGGUUCACCAGCUCGGCAACUGUUCGCUCUUUUGCCUGCGAGGACCGUGGCUAACUGCUAGCAUCCGACUGUAAAAUGCGGGAUCCUCGUUAUAGAUUCUGCGGUCUGUUGAUGUCGCUUGCUCAAAAAUUUCAUGGCACGCUACAGCGACAAUUGGAGUACUACUUACUUUUCUUGAUCAAUGAUCACGCGCUGCUAAUCUUUCUAUAUAGCGAGUAAAAAGGACAUCAUGCGAUGCAAAAAUAUAUGAAUGCAGAGCACCAAGGUAAUCUUUCUUCUGUAGCUGUCGAUGUCGUGACUUGAAAUAGCACCACUACUUGUUUUCUUCUUGAGGAUGAAUAGGCAUGUAAAGUUGAACACAACACAAAGUACUUUCUGCAAACUCAGCUAGUGCUGCUGCCUGGUGAAAAGUUGUGCUGUGCAGUUUAUUUGGGUUUUCAGUGAAGUGAAAUGAUUUAGAUCGCCACGUAAAUACAGUGUUAAACUCCCAGUACCCUUUAAUGAUUUAAUGAUUGUUCUUUUUGCAGGGUGCUCUUGCUUGCUAAAGGCACAGGCAUACACAAAUCUUUCCUCGUGCCCCUGUUUGCUCUUCAAGCACCUAGCAGUGUGGUCUCAUGGAUCAAGUAAGAUGCUGCUAUUUGGUGCAGAGAAUUAUCUAUACCUUUUCCUUCUCUUUGUUUCUCAUUGAUGUUUGUUCGUUUUAAAAUAAGAACACUGUCUUGAGGGCCUACUUAUUCUAUGGCAUCAAUUCCUAAUUUUAGGAGUGACUAUGGACUGUGGACUGCUUUUCUUGCUCUUUUGGUGCGCUUGUUCUUCUCCAUUCCAGGUAGUGUAAAAUAAGAUUCAUCAUAUAAAGGUUCAAGAUGGUGUAGGCUUACAGUUACUUUAUACCUUCAUAUCACUAUCACAGGUGAACUGGAGCUCCCAUUAUCAGCAAUGCUGCUUCUGAACGUUGCUCCUUACCAGAUGAUGAAUCUGAGGUACAUCACAGUAUCACAUUGCACUGUUUGGAAAUAAGAUCUUAGCAUCACUAGAACUAGUGCAUCUGUCAAAAUUGAAUUCUAUGAAAAUAUCACCAUGGCAUUAUUAAUAACUCGUAUUAAUAUAUCGAUGUUCUCAAUGAAACUAACUUGAGUUACCAUCUCGCUAUCAUGUUUCUGUACACUACUGUGUCAUAUGUGAAUAGCAGCAAGUACAUCCAACUGACUAUUCAGGAACCACUCCAUAGAGUAUUUUAGGUUUUCAGUUUAUGUCCUGAUUCUGAAAAUUGUCAUUUACCUUUUUGCUCAUGUGCUCACUUUCCAUGUACAGGGGAACUCAAGGUGGUGCGAUAGUGUCUCUGGCACUAGCAGCGUAUCUUGCCUUUCAGCACUUCACCCGGGCCGGAGGUUUGGGGAGAGCCUUUGAUCAGGGAUCGAUAAUUGCGACCUUGGCCAUCAUCUGCGUCACAGUUAUCAACGUGAUCCUGCUGUUCUGAGUUGGAUCAAGUUGGCAAGAGUUCGCUGCCCCUCAUUGUAGGUGUGGAGGGGGAGCAGGAGGUACUCAGGAGUGCAGAUAAAUAAAACCUUGUAAUGCAUCAUCCUGACAGACUUCCAAGCCCGUUUCAUCGUAAUAAGAAUCUUUACUGCUACUUAACUUGCAGUUGCGUCCGUGGUGGCUCGUACGUCGUCCCAACUUCACAGAAAUUACGUCUCUAUGCCACCGUCCGAACUCCGAUUUGUUUCUUCUCUUUCGUGUUCUCGUGUCUCGCCCAGCCCGCUGCCCACGCGCCACCGCUCCUCCUGCCCUGCGCGCCGCUGCCACCACCCACCUGCCUCUCCUCGCGCUCCUCCUCUGCUCGCACCGCCACCGCCCCGAUCUCUCUCUGCCAGCGUUGUCUCCUCCUCCUCCUCGCACACACCCGCCCAGAUCCACCUCCACCUCCUCGCACACGGCCCGCCCUGAUCCACCUUCUCCUCGCGCGAGGCCGAGGAGCGCGAGGAGGAGGCCGAGAUGCGCGCCGAGGCUGCCGCCCGCCAGGCCGAGAUCCGCCUCCUCCUCAUUGUGCUGCCGCCGUGGGAGAGCCGUCCUCCGCCGCGCCGCGUCCCCGUGACGCCACCUGCUCUCCCCCUUCUCAACGCAUCGAGUGCCCGAUGCCGCCAGCCGAGGCAAGGGUGCUCGAGACGUCCGCGAUGACUGCUUCGAAGUGGGAGGCAUCAAUAUUGUGUGGUAAGGUGAGUUCUCGAUUACUGCUUCCCCAUCCUCUUGUGUAGAAAAAUCUUUGUUUCACUAUUCUUUGAUAAGUAUGUGUGAGUGUGUCUUAAUGGUUUCUUCUGUUGGCUCUUUGUAGACUCUAGCUCUUUGUAAUCUUUUGUGCUUUAUGGAAUCCAGUAGAAAAAUCGGCAUUAGGCUGAUUUUAACUGAUAUUUCAAUCUCUUUCAUGCCUUUUAUGUUUGUAUUUUCCUGAUUACUAAUGGUUCACUAGCGUCAAUUCCAUCCGGUUAUUUAAUCAAACAAUAGCAUCUGUAUCAUUGUUUUCUCUUUCACUUUUGCUUGUUUUAUUAGUCUGUCCUAUAUGUGCUAAUGCUAGAGCUUGAAGUCUCUGCUACUGGAUAUUGGCAUUGAAAGAGCAACAGGAAUUGUCUGGUCUAUCACUGGAGGCAAUGAUAUAACUUUGGUGGAGGUAUUCCUGACGUGUGUGUUUUUUCUGCAUAUAAACUACAGUGUGUGUGGGUAUACAUAGCUACCAUCAAAGUUUGUUUCCUACAUGUUAGUGAGAAUCGAAAAUUGCUGGCUUUCAUAGCUCCCUGAAAGUUAAUACAUUUUGAUCCAAUUGGAUAUAUGUGUGAAGUUAUAUGUGAACUGAAUCCAGUAUUAUUGAUUCACUUUCAGGUGAAUGCAUCAGCUGAAGUUAUAUAUGAUCUUGUUUUUCUUUUUUGAGGGAUUAUAUAUGAUCUUGUUGAUCCUAUUACAAAUAUGAUAUUUGGCUCUGUUUUAGACCCAUCAUAUGCUGGUCAAGUAAGUUAACAAAGCAUUUGGUCAAGUAAGUUGACUUGUCAUAUGAAAUCUCAUCUUUUGACUGUACAGCCUGAACUUCUAAUACAACGGCAUCCAUGCGGGGAAGAUGAAUAUGUGAAGUCAGUGGCCGAGUUAAUUGAGAAGGAGCUAUCAAUUUUUACAAAUUCUGAAGAGGUCUGUGCAUUCCCUUCUCCCUCUUUUUGUUUUUCCUUUACUAUUUUUUGUUCAUCAAAUGACUUUCUAUUCGAUUUUUGGUAAAGUAGAAGGUAACAACUGUUGUAGAUUGAACAUUAUCUUAGUGUUAGGCAUCCUGUUGAAUAUCUCUUAAAUAAGUAUCCCAUCUACUGAAUGAUCUAUCUGCGGUCCGUCCUGGCAUUCAUUUGCUUGUCUCCUUUUGUGAUGAUGCAGCGAAUUGAGGAAUCAACAGAUGAUUUUUUUCUGUAUUACAUUUAGUUGCUCUUUGCAUGAUUCCUUUUUUUUACCAGCUUUGCAUGAUUCUUUUGGCAUGGAUGUUGACUGGGAGAUGAAAAAUAUACUUCAUCCAGGUUGAAAAGACAAACAUGGUUCUCCUACUGUGCUCCGUUUUCCAUAUUGUCGUAAUAACACCAAUAUACUGAUAACUAAACCCACUAGAGAGAAAUGUUUAUUAUAAAUGUUUUAAGUUUAAUUCGCUAAACAAUCUGAAAAUUAUGUACAAUCUGUAUAAGUUGAGAUAUAUUAGAAUAGUUUGAUGAGCUAUCAUAACGAUCCAUCUUAAUUAGGACCAAGACUUUAGCUGGUUACCUAGGUUACCUGUAGUCAAAAUUGUUUAAGGCAAAUUGUAUCAAGGUUUGAUGGUUAGAUUGACACUCCAAUUGUUUCUGUUCAUAGAUCUAUCAUCUACAAAUACUUCUUGUGUUGCAGGUUAUGAGCUAUGGCAAUCUUCGUAGAGUUCAAAUGUUGUGGUUCGAUACAGAACAGAAAAAAGAAGUCUCUUUUCCUCUCAAGAUGAGAGUAAGUAUCGGCAAAAAAUAAUAAUCUCUUCGUAGCGAUGCAAUUUCUUAUCACUCAGUCAUGAUGCAUAUAAGAGUAAGGGGAAUGGGCUGAUUUUGUGUAUAUUCUACAUUUUACUUUUCAGUAGUAAUUAGAUGAUUUAUGAUUUUCUUACAUCUCUCAAGGGAAGAUGUUGAGGGAGACCAUAAGGACACUACACAUUAUGUUGCGAAGAUAAUAUUGCUUUCCUGCUCUUAACACAGGACACCAGAGCAUGCAUUACAAAAUAAAUAUUCGAUGAGGUAUGGACGGUUGUCUUGAUGUGUUUAAUUUUGCAUUCUUUCCAAUAAUUUUGUUGGAGAACACGAGUGUCUUGACUUGUUUCGGUACUCCAACAUGGAUGCUUUGUGAUAUUUACAAUUGUGAGAAGAGGAUCCAUGGCCAAGUUCUUCGAUAAUAAUCGUUCAUGUGGAAUUUUGGAUUGUAUAUUGGUCCAUUGUAUUUUUUUUCCUCUCAUAUUGUCACAAUUAUUGAUUAUAUGACUUGGACUAUGUACAUGUUCAUAAGCAGUGGUGUCUCCUUAUCUGAUGAGGAUGACCAUGCAUCAAUUUUUCAUGUUUGUCAUUCUUCUUGUUAAGUUCUAGAAUGCUCAUUUUUCCGUUGCAACGCACGGGCACUUAACUAGCAAGAAUGAUUUGUGAGUUGUGACAUGGCUGACAGAUCUUCAUGUAUGGUAUAGUUUUGGUCUAUUAGUGUUCAGUGCUAUUCUAUGAUUAAUAUUUGCUCCCGUUUGUUGAUCUUAUUGUUGGAUUUUGCACCAAGAUUUUGGUGUCAACAGGUCUCAGCAGAACGUUGGCUACCGACAGAUAACACAGGGCAAUUGGUCUAGAUUCUGUCAUACUUGUAUACCUUUUCUACUCCCUCUAGUCCAUAAUAGGCGCUUGGGUUUUGUACUAACUUAUUAUGGAUCGAAGAGAGUAUAAAAUAACUUCUAGCAUAGGGUCACGGACCUCGCCAAGACUGUGACGAGCCUAUGGGUCCGCUGGAUCUGAAGGAUGCGGAUUGACCCACUUCGUUUUUUGUGUGGCCUCGGUUGUGAUAUCCUCGCCCAAGCUCAAUAGAUUGAUAGAAAACCUUUGCUAACAAGGUGCAUCUUCUUUUCUGGAAUCUCGUCUCAAUAAAACAUCUCGGUUCAGCGUGCUUAGCUUGAAGCAAUAUUGGUUUGGCGACCUUGUGGGGCCAGUCUAGAGCAUAGAGAGCUACGAGGAAUAACUACUUGGUUGGGUGAGUUGACCGACGGAGCAGGAACCUCCGUCCAUAUAUGAGGCACUCUUGCAUUACUAGAUUCUCAAUUUAAUUAAUUAAAUAUGUAUGUUUUUUAACAAAAAAAAACACCAUUAGUCCUUAUCAAAAGAACUUUCUAAUGAUUUUUUUAUUAUUUAGUUUAUAUUUAUUUAGCUAAAUUGACAAUCUAGUGAUGCGUGUGUGCCUCAUAUUAUGGGACGGAGGGAGUAAGCUCCUUAUUAACAGACUUCUGGUUAUGUUCCAGAUCUUGUUGCUGGCUCCUCUUACGGAGUUAUGGCAUCAAACUCUCGAAGCUGAAUUGGAAAUCAUGGGCUCCUAGUGGGUGAAGUUUUUCAUUUAUCUCUCUUGUUAGAACAUUGUUGGAUGACUGAGAGGGUGCCAAGAUGUCUGCGGCAACACGCCUUGAGGUGCUUGUUGUGCGACCAAUCAUUACAUCAUGGAUAGGGGCGGAGCCAUGAAAAAUUUGUAUGGGGACCAAGGUACAAAAAUACAUAGCUUAUAGUAUAAAAAACAUGUUGGUCCUGUGGCUCGGUCAUUUACCAUGGAUCAUUUCCUUACCAGAUACGCGCACCCUCUACGUGAUGUGUUGUUAUCGAUCUGAUCCGUUGCUGGUCCCUCUGUAGCGAAGACGUGUUUGUUAAAUGGUGGCACUUGAUUGUGCGGUACUUCUUGAGUGCCUCACGAAAGGUCACCUCGUCGAUCAUUUUGCUCAUGGCGUGGUGGAUCCAUAAGUACCGUCACGCAAUCGUCUUCGACAAUAUUUGACCCGACUUGAAUUGAGGCUAGUUAUAGCGUGAUUUCAUAAAAUUUCAAACUGAAUUCUUAUACCUAAUUCUGUGCCAAACAAGUUCAUUCUAAAAUCGUAUGAAAAUUUGAGAAUUAUAGAUCGAAAUGGCAGAUGCGAGUUUUUUUUUUUUAAACUUAGAUGCGAGUUGUCUGGCUGUCUUUUUUGCACAUGGGCCAGACAGAGCUAAUUUAUUUUCCUUGACACGCCCUCUCUCUUCUGCCCAUCUCGGUGCCGAGCGCCCCAGCCCCCUCGCUCCGUCGGUCGUCUUCCUCCUCGAGCGCCGCCACCCCUUCCUCUCCAUCCCGCUGCCGAGCGGCCCCAGCCCGUCUUCCUCCUCGCGCGGGCGUGUCCACCGCAGGUUGAUCUCCCCUUCGAUUCUUCCGCUCCCGGCCGUUUCUCCUCCCAUCACCCCACGAACGGAUCCCGCACCUUUAGCUCCCCGUUUCAUCUCCUUAAUCUUCCCCCAAUUCGUAACUGAGGGGAAAAUCAAGGUAGGGCGGGGCCGCCCUACUGGGUCCUCCGCCCGUGACGUCUGUUCCAGUACUAUUGUGUUACAUCGAGUGUAAUUUUGCCUGGUUAUUUGACCUGGAUUGUUGGAUUGUUGGAUUGAAUAGUAGUACUUCACAGCCGUGUUUUCUAGCAAGGUCAACAUCUCCUUUCCUGUUACUGAGCGUGCAAUCUGGGUUAUCGUAAAUUUCCGUAAGUGGAGAUAUUUGAAUAGUUCAGUUUGGCUUUGUUACUUAUGUACUGGAAAACCUCGUGCGUGCCAACAAACUAAUUCAAAACAUGUAUGUGAUAUACAAACUCUUUCUUCGCGGUAUAUGCAAUAUUGCAGUUUUUUUCAUGGGGUUUGUGUGGUACGUCAUAAAUCUUAAGUGACUGGACUUGUUAUGUACUUAUGUCAUUUAGCAUUUUUGUUUUACCAGAGUGUGGUAAAUCAUCAGUGCUGUAUUUAUACUUUCUGGAUUCAUUGACAUUGAGUACCUGGAAGUCUUGGGAGCAAUUUAUGGCAUUUAUAUAGUAGUACAUGUUGAUCUUCAUUCAUUCAGUCCUCUGAACUGUUAAGAACAAUGGCCUUGUCCAAAAGAUUCCCACCUUUUCAGUUUCAAUGUGUCCCACUCUUAGUACCCGACCGGCCUACUAUCUUGGUGUAAGAUAUACCAAACCAAUGUUAAGUUCAACGUUAGGACUUAGAACAUACUUCUGAGACCUGUUAAAGAACUGGGCCUGUAAACUUGGCAUCUGGUUCUUUUUUCCACACACAAAAAAUAAACAAUUGAGAUACCCAUGAAUGGUUUGUGCACUAUCCAUCUCUCCCUUUUUCAAAAGAUAAAUUUUGUGCAUGUCCUUUACAUUGGUUCCCUAGUACUCCCUCCGUUUCAUAUUAAAUGACUCAAAUUUGUCCAAAUAUGGAUGUAUCUAUGCCUAAAAAGCGUCUAGAUACAUGUAAUAGAAAGUCACUUAAUAUGGGACGGAGGGAGUAGUUACUUAUGCUAACAUGUUCAUCAUAACUGCUACAUUAUGGUUCAAAUGUGAAUAUAUUUUCCAGAAUAUGUUUCAGAUUUCCUCUCCAAUUUAUGUAUGUACUGCUGUGUAUGUAUGCUAAAUAUUUGGUGGCUUUGAGAUUAGUUAGCUGAUAAGAAAUUGAUCUCCUUGUAGCUUGUUUGGGCAUCUGUUCGUGCAGUAUGUCGGGGAAGCCAUCUGAUGAUAUGGCUGGUCAAGUGAGGCCUGAAGGAGAUGUUUCAGACGUGAAAGUAGAAACUGCCAACCAGAAUAAAGGAACUGAUAUGCCUUCACCACAGGAAGAGGUAUCAUCUUUUGUUAACAAUCGUAACGUUUAUUUAUCCUUUAGCAUUUAUGUAUACUUACAUGCUAUCAUUUGUAUUAUUUUGCUAAUUUAGCUUACAUUUUAAGACUGCCAAUAUUAUAUCCAUAACCACGAUGUAACUUAACCGGAUACUUGCAGGAGGCAGCAAUCAAGAAAAAAUAUGGUGGAGUACUGCCCAAAAAGUCACCACUUAUAUCCAAGGUAUCAAUGGCUUAGUAUAUUACUACGUUCUGCCAUAUAUACAAUUUCAUCAUCUGUUUAUAAAGCAGUAAGGGAAGUUAAAUUAUUUUUAGCUCCAUAUCCAUAUAAUUUCAUCUGCAUUAUGUCUAUCAGGAUCAUGAGCGAGCUUAUUUUGAUUCUGCUGAUUGGGCUCUGGGCAAGGUAUCGUACUGUUAUUUUGAAAAGCUAAAAGUAAAACUGAUAUUUGGAAGCAAUGUUAACUCUUACACUACAAUCUUGCUCCCUUGAUCCUUGGUUUCCUGCAGCAAGGAGGACAUCCUAAACCUAAAGGACCACUUGAAGCACUUCGACCAAAAUUACAGGUACUGACUGAAACUCUCCCUCAUUGCUUGGUACUCAUGAGAAUGUACUUGCCUUGUAUUUUGCUACCGUAGAGACUUAAUUUUUCUAUGGCAUUAGCUGCUAGCUGUUUGAUUAGGGUAUUUGGUGUUUUUUCAUUCUAAUAAUCAAUAGAGUUCAUGUCCAUAUUUUUUCUGUUGUUUGGCCCAGUAUUUAAACUGGAUUGAGUUUAAAUGAAAAGUCCCCUUCAUUGUUGUCUUUUUUUUUUUUGCUUAAGAGGCUCAUUUGUAGGCGAAUGUAGUGAUAGUUAUGAAGUUAACUUAUGCUAUACCAUACUCAUUUGUUGGCUUACAUCUUUAUCAAUUUUGUUACAGCCUACUCAACAGCAAGCCCGUUCACGUCGAUUUCUUCAUGCAUCUGCUGACAAUGAAGGUACUUGAUGUUACAAGAUGUCAAGCAAGAAAUCCUAAAUGUUUAUUUUGUCAUCGAUUCAAGCGUCACUUUUGCCUUGCAGAGGGGGGCAAUUCACCCACUGAGGCUACGAGCCAGAACCAGGAUUCCACCGAGGGCAAGGACGAGAGCAAGGAAUGAGUACAUGACGAGUAGCUCCAUGUUUUUUCCCAAACUGAACCAUGCCGUUUGAUAAGCCCGCGCCAUUUUGUGGCUGUAGUAAUAAGUACUCUAAUGCCCCUUAAUGCUCGCUGAAUUUUGAACCGCAUUGGAGACAUGCCGCGUCUACUGCGUUCUGCUGUUCCAUGUCUUGUACCUGUAACGAUUUGUGAUGGAAUUUGGAACAUUUUCGUGGCACUGAGUGUCUGCGCAGACAAAAUAAAAAUGUGAGCCUGUGAGAUGUUUCUUCCUUGUGCCACUACUGAUGAGUAGAACCAGAUUCCCUGAAACAAAAAAGAUGAGUAGAACCAGAUUCUUCUAACCUGCGGUGCUUGUUUCUUCUGGUGCUGCGCUGAGACGGUUCAUGUCUGAUGUUCGAAACCUGGGUGCCUGGCAAUAUCUGAACUAUUGAUGUUUUCCCGACUGCUGUAGGUUACGUAUUAUAUUUGAAUUUCAUAGGAUUUCAAGAGUUAUCAUGUAGGAGUAACUCAGUUUGGCGCUAUGGGAGUUUGUUGUCUUUGGACUCGUAGUUUUGCGAAAUUGCUGAUUUUCAAACAUGUUCCUUGACGAAUUUUCGAAACACAGUCCCAUCAUCGAAUCAAACAAAAACUGGAGCAAGCAUUGCUCUUUUAUUUUUGGAGAGGGGAUCAAGCAUUGCUAAUCGCCACCAAUCUGGAUGAAUCUCUGGAGUUUGACACGCCCUGGUCAAGCAUGUUGAGGAACCAACGACGGGGUGGGGUGGCCACCGAGUCGUGCACCCCCACCAAUCCCCCUGUUGACUCAUUUCUCCAUCUAAUAGUUUGUUGUGGACUCUUAUUCAUUGAGCCUAUAUAAAGAAGAGGAGGCUACCCCUCGUACGUACACUUGAGAUCAGAAAUUAAUAAAGAGCUCAUGUUCCUCUCUACUUGGUGUUCAUCUACUUUACUGUACUUCAUGAUUGUGCGUGUUUGAUUAGGAUCUUGGUGUGCAACCUCAGGACCGGUCAGCCGGCAAGAGUUGCACAACACGUUAUCAGCACGAGUCUCUACCCCCAGCCUUCAUCGAGCCUACUCCACGCAGGCUCUCGACAUAAAUCACGGAGGUAUUGGAUCCGAAAUUUUAUUGCAAAAAUGGAUUCCUCUUUGUGUUACGAUUCCGUUUUUGCUAUUAGAUUAUCUUUCGGAUUUUUCUACCCACGGUAUGGAAUUCCCUCGCGAGAUGUUGCCGACCAAGUCGCCGGCCAAUGCCGAUCAUCCUCGCCGCAGGAGGGACUUGUUGACCAUAACCAUGGGGAGACGGUGUCGCACUGUUGUGCUCACCGCCGGCCACCGCAGGCUCCAUGCCGCGAGCCGUCCCAAGCCACCCCAUGGAGCCGCUGCAGUGGAGCACGCCGUCGAGCGCUGCUCCUAGGCGCUGGCCUGGCCGCUGCUCCGAAGUCGUCACCUCACGCACGACGCCGCACCAGCUGCUUCAAUGCACGAGCGCUGCCCUCUGGAUGUGCGCGGGCUGCUGCAAGCACUGGCCGUGCGGGAACUGCCGCUGGCCACGAGCACCUCCGCUGAGUGCCGCUGCUAGAUAUCGCGCCUCGCCAACGCUGCCGCCAGACAUGUUUGGGCGUGUGUCGCCGCGUGCCCCCGCGUGCACUGCAGUCCCGAUGCCAUCGAACCGGUGGCCGUCAGGCUCCGCCGCGUUGGUGCGAGGCCUCGCUGCGCACCCCUGCUGGCGCUGCCGGCCCUGGACGCGCGCACCGCCCGGGCCGCCUCAGGAGCGUGCCAGGCACGAGCGCGUGCCGCCGCCGCCGUCCCCACCUUGUGCGCAGGCUGCCGCUCAGGCACCGCCGCCGCGCCUCGACAACCCCCGUGCGCGGGGCCGCCGCCGUCGCUCCAUUUGCGGGCACGAGCGCGCGGGCGCAGGCCGCCACUGAUGCCGCCUCAGUCGCGGGCACAGGCCGCCGCCGCCACCCAAGGAGAAACCCUAAUGAGGGCUGGCGCGGCUGGGCUGGGCCAGGCGAGGCAGGGAGUUGGGCCACCGGCCCAAUAGGCGAGCGGGCGGGCCAGAUUCGGUCUGGGAUGGUAGAUUUGCAUUUCGGCCCUUGGUCUUUCUGUAAUUAAGCGCAUUGUUUACUGUGCUGCGUUUUGCGACUAAGGCCUUGGAAUUGUCAGUUUUGGCUGAAAUCUCGUAUUUUGGCUCAAAAUGGCUUCAGGAAUGUGUUUUUGGGGCUAAUUUUCAUGUUUAGGAAACGUUUAACUUGCCAUCUCUAUGCACAUGCUUGUAUUACCAUGUUUUACCGUUGUUGAUUAAUUGUAAAUAUGCUUUAUUGCUUUUAAUUAUUAAGUAAGACAUGAACUCGUAUGUUUUAAAUAUUGGAACGUUGUUAUGAACAACUAUAUCAUUUUAUCACAUUUAUGCGCUGGGUUACAUGAGGUUACCUCGAGAUUAUAUGUUGAAAUCUCGUAAAAUUUCGCAUUAAUGAUAUGAAUCACAAACCUGCAGUUCGAGGAGC
rnacentral:lncRNA from 1 species